UGAACUAAUCUUGCUUCACUAAAAAAGACCUACAGCUUUGGAAAAAGUCUAUAGCCAGUGCAUUCCUAACUCCCCCUGCACUGGUGCUUGUUGUGGCUGUGGGAAGACAUUUUACUCUCUUACUCUCUUCUGUUUCCAUUUUUAAAAAUUUUGUUAAUAUUAGAUAUUGUUUUUUACCUAUGUAGUGUUGCACCUGUUAAAGUUGUGUGUCUGGGAAAACAUCUGGAAUUAUCUGCGGAUUUAGGCCUCAUACAGAUGUCUGUAUUUUGUGUGAAGGGUUUGCAUAUCCUCCGUGGUUAUAUGAAGAGGACUGUACGCGUUCGCAGGCGACCGAGAGAGCGCAGGGAGUCCGGUUUCAAGCAGACAUGACUCGCCUUUGGACGGAGAGAAAAACACCCAGCGGAACUCCGGCUCUCUCAGCCCGGAGAGGCGUCAGCAGCAGCGGAACAUGUCAACUCCCGCAGCCGGGAUUGCGGCCGUUCGUUCCUUCUCCAAGCGAUAGCAGUGCGGACAGCACCGAGACCUGUCAAGUACAUUGAGAGUCUUCUAUCACACUCGUGAUUUAUGCAUUGUGGAUUGAGGACAGGCUUUGAGGAGACACGACGAUUUCAACAUUGUUGUCAAGAUGAGAAAUCAUUACCCACCUCUAACUGCCUUUGAGAUACAAUUCUGUGGUCUUCUGGAUAUUUCAUACAGCAGUUAAGAGUCAUACACAUUGCCAAGGUUCUGGAGUCACAUAAAGCCCAGAUCAGGGCAGUACGUUGUACCAACUGGUUAAAUGGUGAUCAACAAGUUAACGAAGCAACAGAAAGAAGAUAAGACUUAUAUCAGAAUUCACAUCCAAAAUGAUUUAAAGUUGCAUAUACAAAGUCAGCAUGCGGUUCUCAAGGCAUACAAAAUCCCUGGGUUUUUGAAAUGGUACUUCCAACACUCUUCAAUUACAGGAAAGGAAAUGCUUCACCAGACACUUGCUGGAUCACGUUUGGAGUAGUCAGUUACAACACAUAUACUACUAAAGACAUUACAUUCCUUGAGAAGUUCAAUAUCUGGUUUCUCAUUUCAUUAUAAACAUUUACUUGCAAGAUAUUCAUGCCUCCUUGUUAGAUAUCUCACUUUACCGGUGCAGUCUCCAGAGCUGAAGAAAUGUCCACAGCUUAAAAUGCCUCUACAAAAUUUCAAGUUAACAAUUAAGUAUUUCUAAGCAACACAUUAAGGCCAAAAGUGACUAAGCUUUAUAGUUCUAUCCCAAUCGUUCUAACUAUCUAUAGUCCAAUUUGUAUCUUUCACUAACUCCUUUUUCACAAGAACAAUUAAUUAAUGGAACAAUCCUUCAUAGAACUUGACCUUCAAGUCAUCUCAGGGCACAUUUAAGGAAACUUUGUAGACCUUUUGUAAUUAAUAUGACCAUUCACCGCACCCAUCAUGCGCCUCUUAUGAAAAUUCCCUAGUGAAAAACUUUACUAAGCACCAUAAAGCUAACAGAAAAAAAGAGAAUAGGAGGUGAUGCAAAGAGGGAAAACAGGCAAAUAAAAUAGUGAGAUUUUAAGUGAAAGACAAGAAAUCAAGUUGACUUUUUGGAUAUAAACAUUUUACACCUUGGUCUUUAAAAAAAAAUCAGAAUUCAAAUGGGGAUAUCAUUUUAAAAAAGGAUUUGAAACAGUUUAUCUGGAGAUGAACAGUCCUGCAGAUGCUAGAACUAGUACUAGGCUUUGAUUGUAAGCAUGAAUGCUGAAAUUCCUAAAAAUCCACCUCUUGAUUUACUAAGGAAACAAAGUUAAAAAAACAGACAGAAGGUUAUUGGUAUGGAAGAUUUUUCUUUGUCCCACACUUACCCUUCAACCACCAAAACCAGAAACAUGACCUGGCUGUUUGUCUUGUUGUUGUGUGGUCUUGCUCUGUGUAAACUGGCUCAUGCAUUUCCCUAAAUUGCAACACUUUAAAAUACCUCAUUUGCUGUGAAGGACAUUGAGGAGUCUUGAGAUUUUAGAGUAUUUUAUAUUAAUACAACUUUUAAAAUUCUUUCUUGUUAUUUCUAAUUGUCACGCCAUCAAGACAAUGUAUAUAUAAUAUUGAAUGAUAAUUUGUGUUAAUAAUCAUGAUAAAUAUGCUGCUGUUGGCAAAUACACAAAGUCAAAUUCAAUGUUUCUUCCUGUCAACGAUAUUUAUUCUUGUGAAGCAGUUUUAUCAACUGUGGGAUAUCUUUUGGAAUAUCAUGCCAGCAUCCAAGGGAAGACCAUCUGCAUAGACAUUGAGCUCCAACAGUGAUAGAA